rnacentral:rRNA from 1 species
UACGUAGGGUGCAAGCGUUGUUCGGAAUUACUGGGCGUAAAGCGCACGUAGGCGGGUCUGUAUGUCAAUUGUGAAAGCCCCGGGCUCAACCUGGGAAUGGCAGUUGAAACUGCAGAUCUUGAAUGUCCAAGAGGAUGGGGGAAUUCCUGGUGUAGUAGUGAAAUACGUAGAUAUUGGGAAGAACACCGGUGGCGGAAGGCGGCUCUCUGGGACCGUAACUGACGCUGAGGUGCGAAAGCGUGGGGAGCAA